UUCAGAGAUGUGAGAGGGAUGUUGGUUGGUGUUUUGCAUAGAGACAUUGUGUGGCUAAACUGCAGCUGCUAUAAAAGUGCCAGUGUCCCUGUGCCAUAUUAAUGAUCUGUAUGUGUCACAGUGCAUAGAUAGAGACAUGUCUUAUCCCACUGAUCUACUGCUGCUGCUGCUACUGGGGAUCCUCCUGAUCUUUAGCCAAGGUUCCUAUGGGCAGAUUGUACUGACUCAGUCUCCAGAUUAUGUCUCUGUGUCACCAGGAGAAACUGUCACCAUCACAUGUAAAGCCAGUAGCAGUGUUAUUGACGACAAUAGAGACAAUUGGUUGGCCUGGUUCCAACAGAAAUCAGGGCAGGCACCAAAGCCGCUGAUCUAUAAGGCAAACAAGCGACACACAGGGACCCCAGAGCGGAUCAGCGGCAGUGGGUCUGGAACUGAUUUCACUCUUACAAUCAGCAGAAUGGAAGCAGAAGAUGCAGCAGAUUAUUACUGUCAGCAGUAUACUCAGUCCCCUCUCACACAGUGAUACAGAGCUGAACAA